rnacentral:tRNA from 1 species
GCCGGCGUAGCUCAAUGGCAGAGCAGCGGUUUUGUAAACCGCAGGUUGUGGGUUCGACUCCCUCCGCCGGCUCCA